rnacentral:rRNA from 1 species
GGCUUAACACAUGCAAGUCGAGGGGCAGCAUGUAGGUUGCUUGCAACCUAUGAUGGCGACCGGCGCACGGGUGCGUAACGCGUAUCCAACCUUCCCCGCAGUAGGGUGCAGCCCGUUGAAAGACGGAUUAAUCCCCUAUGUUGUCCAUUGACGGCAUCCGAUUUGGACGAAAGAUUUCAUCGCUGCGGGAUGGGGAUGCGUAGGAUUAGGUAGUCGGCGGGGUAACGGCCCACCGAGCCUUCGAUCCUUAGGGGUUCUGAGAGGAAGGUCCCCCACACUGGAACUGAGACACGGUCCAGACUCCUACGGGAGGCAGCAGUGAGGAAUAUUGGUCAAUGGAGGCAACUCUGAACCAGCCAAGUAGCGUGCAGGACGACGGCCCUACGGGUUGUAAACUGCUUUUAUGCGGGGAUAAACGGCAUUACGUGUAGUGCUUUGCAGGUACCGCAUGAAUAAGGACCGGCUAAUUCCGUGCCAGCAGCCGCGGUAAUACGGAAGGUCCGGGCGUUAUCCGGAUUUAUUGGGUUUAAAGGGAGCGCAGGCGGCACUUCAAGCGUGACGUUAAAUUUCGGGGCUCACCCCCGUUGUGCGUCGCGAACUGUUGUGCUUGAGUAGGCGGCAGGGAGGCGGAAUUCGCGGUGUAGCGGUGAAAUGCUUAGAUAUCGCGAGGAACUCCGAUAGCGCAGGCAGCCUCCCGUUGCUUUACUGACGCUCAUGCUCGAAGGUGCGGGUAUCGAACAGGAUUAGAUACCCUGGUAGUCCGCACUGUAAACGAUGGAUGCCCGCUGUUGGGCCUUUUGGGUUCAGUGGCCAAGAGAAUCGUUAAGCAUCCCACCUGGGGAGUACGCCGGCAACGGUGAAACUCAAAGGAUUGACGGGGGCCCGCCAAGCGGAGGACAUGUGGUUAAAUCAUGAUACGCGAGGGACCUUACCCGGCCUGAACUGCACCGAAUGCGAAGAGAUCCAAAGCACAAUGCCCUGUGUGGAACGCGUGUUGCAUCGG